CAGCCUGCCCAGUGACACAAUUCAACGGCCACGGUAUCCUAACCGUGCGAAGGUAGCAUAAUCACUUGUUCUUUAAAUGAGGACUCGAAUCAACGGCAUCACGAGGGUUAUACUGUCUCCUUUUUCUAAUCAGUGAAACUAAUCUCCCCGUGAAGAAGCGGGGAUAUUUUUAUAAGACGAGAAGACCCCAUGGAGCUUCAAACCCAACUACACCUCUGAUUAUUAUAGCCCUCUAAACCUCAGAACCCUGCACAGUUGGUUUUAGGUUGGGGCGACCACGGAGUACAACAAAACCUCCACAAUGAAGGGGAUAUUCCCUCAUCUAAGAACCACAAUUCCAAGAACUAGUAUACUAACAUAAAAUGAUCCAUUAACAUGAUCAAUGAACCAAGUUACCCUGGGGAUAACAGCGCAAUCCAUUUCAAGAGCUCCUAUCGACAAAUGGGUUUACGACCUCGAUGUUGGAUCAGGAUGUCCCAGUGGUGCAGCAGCUACUAACGGUUCGUUUGUUCAACGAUUAAAAUCCU
rnacentral:rRNA from 1 species